rnacentral:rRNA from 1 species
AUUGAACGCUGGCGGCAGGCCUAACACAUGCAAGUCGGACGAGCGGCGGACGGGUGAGUAAUGUAUGGGGAUCUGCCUGAUGGAGGGGGAUAACUACUGGAAACGGUAGCUAAUACCGCAUACCAUCGGAUGAGCCCAGAUGGGAUUAGCUAGUAGGUGGGGUAAAGGCUCACCUAGGCCACGAUGCCUAGCUGGCCUGAGAGGAUGACCGGCCACACUGGGACUGAGACACGGCCCAGACUCCUACGGGAGGAAGCAGUGGGGAAGCUUGUGCAAUGGGGGAAAGCCUGACCGAGCCAUGCCGCGUGAGUGAAGAAGGCUUUCGGGUUGUAAAGUUCUGUUGUCAGGGAGGCGGUAUCUACACAGAAAGCCACGGCUAACUACGUGCCAGCAGCCGCGGUAAUUC